AGGUUCGUAGCAGGUAGAUCCUGCCUGACUAACCCUGUUUCUUUUUAUGACCAGGUCACUAAAUGCUUAGACGCAGGAGUCGAGGUAGAUGUCAUCUACUUUACUUUUGGACUACUACUUGGACUUUAAGAAGGCCUUCAACAUGUUCCAGAAAUGUCUCAACUUAUCUGCCAAAUCUGAGGAUCUGGAUGUACAAGGAACACAGAAUCAGGCCCUCUGUGAGAUACAAGCUCAAAUAUUGAGAGCUGCAUGUAGAGUUCUUUCAUGCAACAUGUCUGACUCUUUGUGUACCCAUAUUUCUAAACAUUUGCAUCAUAAUACACUGAUGUAAAAGGCAGCACAACACUAACAUUCAUAUUAAUCUUUAUUAAAUGAUGACCCCAGUUGCAAGGCCUUCUCAAGCACUGAACUUCUGGCAUGUGUCUUGUUGCACUUCCCUGGAAGACCAAGAGCAUUGAGUCAAAUGACAGUUGGUUAACUGUAUCUCUAGUGGCUUCAGAUGAUAUGGAAGUGAAUUAUUUAUCCCCUUAAAAACAGUCUGAUGCUUCCCUAAAAUCAAAUUAUUUUUGUUGUUAAAGUGUUACACCUUCUUUUAUGGAAGAAGUGCAUAUCUGGCUAUGACAUGAUUCCCUCUAGCUCAGCUUGAUCUUCCUCCUCAAAAUAAAAUAAAUGUGUUGCCAUGGA